AUACGUAGGGAGCGAGCGUUGUCCGGAAUUACUGGGCGUAAAGGGUGCGUAGGCGGCAGGGCAAGUCAGAUGUGAAAUCCCCGGGCUUAACUCGGGGGGUGCAUUUGAAACUACCUUGCUUGAGUGCAGGAGAGGAAAGCGGAAUUCCUAGUGUAGCGGUGAAAUGCGUAGAUAUUAGGAAGAACACCAGUGGCGAAGGCGGCUUUCUGGACUGUAACUGACGCUGAUGCACGAAAGCGUGGGGAGC
rnacentral:rRNA from 1 species